UUCCCUUUCUAAUGUUCUGUGAUGCUGCGUAAUGCUGCAAGUGAAGGAAACAAGGAGGUCAGGAGGCACUCUGAGAGCAGGGCACAGGAAAGCGCCUUUCCAGCAGGUGAGUGCUCUGUGUGCUGGGUGGGCCACCCGGAGCGUCACCCACCGAGUGUGUGCACGUGGGCGGGGCCGGGGCAGCCUCCCCUCUCACCUGGACACCAAGCAGCGUCUUCACCCAGGUGCAGUGCAGCAUGACUGAUGGCAGGAAAACUAACUGCAAAUUGCCACGAGAUUCAGAAAUGUGACUGGAUACAACAAAAGCCAUAACUAUGGCCAUAUCCUGAGGCCCAGGGAUGAGUAAAUUAUUGGAAAGAAACCGAAAACUCUGUGGUCUGAUGAUGAACACGGCGGCACAGGCCGAGGAGAGCUCUUGGCUGGAGCACAUUUCGCCCUUGGUCUGCGCACACACAGCUGUGCCAGAGCUCCGGCACCUCAGCAAAGCAGGAUCAGAAGCCACCUGAGUCUGUCAAGGAGUGUGACAGGCUUCCCUCAAGAAUCUUAGCCUGUGCCGAGAAGCAGCAGAGCAUUUUGCUCACCCUCGUGUCUACUGAGGGACAGUCUAACCCUGAGUGCCACGGAGAAGGGCCUGAGCGUGCAGACGCUGCCCCGCUUCCCCGAGGGGUGCUUCUGACUGCAGGCGCCUUUGGGGUGGGCAGUUCACGCGGGGCAGCGGGACAUGGGCCUGAGCACCAUGCAUGUCCCCACUGGAAUACCUGGACCUUUGCUUGUGCUCUGUCAUCACACCCUGCCUGGACUGAAAACAGCAAAGAGCAGCUUCUUUUGCAUUCACUGAGUCAAAGCAAUGAGCCAGCUGCCCCCAGGGUCCACCAGCUCCUGCAUCUAAAAUAGAGUCACAGAGGGACAAAGGCGAACGAUGUCGACUGGUAGACAAGGCGACCUGCUGCAGUAAUGCCACAUCUAGUAAACCAUUUGGAAAAAAUAAUGGGAGCGUUAAAUCAAGCUGGGCAGAAGAAAUGUUCGGACUAUAUUUUGACCCUAAUUUGAAAACAGUGAUGCUCUAUACAGUGAAUGAGCAGAAGGGUUUCUCGUCCACAGGCCAUCCCUGGUUCCUAGAUUUCAACAGGACAAGUAAGGUCCUAUAGCCAAGGUAAGAAAAACCCUUACUUCUUCAAAAGUCUGAAUUUAGGGAAAACUGAUCAA